rnacentral:rRNA from 1 species
AUUGAACGCUGGCGGCAGGCCUAACACAUGCAAGUCGAACGAGUGGCGGACGGGUGAGUUAUGUCUGGGAAACUGCCUGAUGGAGGGGGAUAACUACUGGAAACGGUAGCUAAUACCGCAUCCCAUCGGAUGUGCCCAGAUGGGAUUAGCUUGUAGGUGGGGUAAAGGUUCACCUAGGCGACGAUCCCUAGCUGGUCUGAGAGGAUGACCAGCCACACUGGAACUGAGACACGGUCCAGACUCCGACGGGAGGAAACAGUGGGGAAUAUUGCAAAAUGGGGACAAGCCUGAUUCAGCCAUGCCGCGGGUAUGAAGAAGGCCUUCGGGUUGUAAAGUACUUUCAGCGGGGAGGCGUUACCCGAAGAAGAAGCACCGGCCAACUCCGUGCCAGCAGCCGCGGUAAUAC